rnacentral:rRNA from 1 species
GAUUAACGCUGGCGGCGUGCAUAACACAUGCAAGUCGAACGAUGAAACUUUAAUGAACCCUUCGGGGAGAAUUAAAGCGGAUUAGUGGCGAACGGGAGAGUAACGCGUGAGUAACCUGCCUUACACAAGGGGAUAGCCUUUGGAAACGAAGAAUAAUACCCUAUAAAACCAUAAAAGCACAUGCAAUUAUGGUCAAAGUGAUAGCGGUGUAAGAUGGACUUGCGUCUGAUUAGCUAGUUGGUGAGAUAAAAGCCCACCAAGGCAACGAUCAGUAGCCGGCUUGAGAGAGUGUACGGCCACAUUGGGACUGAGACACGGCCCAGACUCCUACGGGAGGCAGCAGUGGGGAAUUUUGCACAAUGGGGGAAACCCUGAUGCAGCGACGCCGCGUGAUUUAGAAGGCCUUCGGGUUGUAAAAAUCUUUUGUAUAGGAAGAAAAUGACAGUACUAUACGAAUAAGGUCCGGCUAAUUACGUG